ensembl:lncRNA
UUCCUUUGAUUCCAUCAUUUGCUGAGAGCUUUUAACUGUGAAUGGAUUUUGAAUUGAAAUUGAAUUCUUAUAUUAAUUGUGAAUUGGUGUUGAGUUGAAAUGUGUUUCUAUGCCUAUUGAAAUGGCCUACUUAGUCUAUUAACUCGUGUGUCAGGUAGAACUGUAAGAUGGCUCCCACAUUGCCAAGCCCCUGGUGUGUGCACAGCUUCUACCAAUUAUUUAAUUAAACACUAAUUUAGGUCUUGCCAGGAAGGGAUUCUGCAGAUGUAAUUAAGACUGCAAAUCAACUGACAUUAAAACAGGGAGAUUAUCGGGGUGGGUCUGACCUAAUCAAAUAAGCCCUUUAAACCUAGGUCUAGAAGUCAGACACAGAGGAAGUCAGAGCAAUUCAAAGUGAGAACGGCAUUUGACAAGAGAGAAAUACUCAAUGCUGGUGUGGAAGAAGGUGGGCGUGGUGUAGUAAGGAAUGUGGGCAGUCUCUAGCCGUGGAGAGCGGCCCAAGGCUGACAGCCAGCAAGGAAAAGGGGGUCUCACUCCUACAACCAGAAGGAACUGAAUUCUGCCAACAAUCUUAAUGAGCUUGGAAGCAGAUUCUUCCCCAGAACCUCCGGAUGAGAACUUAGCCUGCCCAACACCUGAUUUCAGACUUUGAGGCCCUAAACAGACAGACCACCGCCCCCCCCCCAAUCCCUAUCAGCAAUCCAGGAAGGAGUGAAGCAGGGAACUCUGGUGGGGAUAGCUUAAUGCCAGCAAAUGGCCUCACUGUGGCCCAAAACCAGGUGCUGAAUUUGAUUACUGUGUGCCCAAGACCUGAAGGAUUGAACUUUCAGGAUCUCGAGAACCAGCUCCAGCACAUGACUGUAGCAUCAAUCAAGCAAGCUGUGGAUUUUCUUAGCAAGGAGGGACACAUCUAUUCCACUGUGGAUGAUGACCAUUUGAAAGCCACAAAUGCAGAACAGCUGGAUCUAAUUGAGUAUGUAAGAUAUUUUUCAGCUGGACUUACCUAUUUUCACAAUCUGUUCUCUCCAGCUCUGCAUGUUGGCCAAUUGACUUCUAGGAAGUGCAUUUCGUCUAUAACAGGUUUCAAUUGACAUCCUUUUGAGACUUAAAAAAGUUGGUUGUGUUGUCCCCCCACUACAUGACUUCUGGUAUGUGCAGGGAGUAAGAGCAGGUCUUGAUGGAGGGGCAGGGAGCAGAUGGGUCGGGAUGCCCUGAGAGUCAGGGACAGCUCAGAGAAGGCAAAAUCAGGCCCGAAGCGCUGCUGCGUGUCCACUCUACCCAGAGGAAGCUCGAUGUAGCUGGAGUUCUGCGGGGGUGGGACUGGAGUCCUGGAAUGAGAAACACCUGGUGCUCCAGGUGCCGGUGGUCGCUCAUCUCAGACUCGUCCAUAAAGAGUCUGGCUCAUGCUACCUAUCAAGCAAACCCCAAUCCUGUCAACGCCUCGCCUGCCCCACUUACAGUCACAGUGGGGGAGCUUCUCGCCCCAGGCUCUGAUCCACAAGCUGUGCAGGGGCGAGCCCACCUGGCCAGAACAGGGGGAGGCACUGUGCAUGCCCGGGCCUCAAAUCUCCAGCGUUCCCGAAGCCAAAGAUUCCAGGGCAGCAACUUGGCCUUCCGGUGAGGAUCCCAGGGGCCCCAAUCUUCCCUCCACUAACACCUGAGGCCAUAGCAACCUGACCAUGCCGCAUUGUUCCUCCCAGCAGCUGUGAGGCAUCUAGAAUUCAUCCCUGGGAGACCAUCACUGCCUGUUCCUCUAGCCGGCCCCCUGGAGAACAGCCUCAGGACAUUGGUCUUUCUGAGCCAGCCCAACUACCAGCACUGCACUGGGGGAGCUGGCCCCUUCACUCAAGUCUCUGUCAGGAAAUGUUCUCUGUUGAACACCAUUCAUCCGUUGAUGGACCUCUAGGUUGCUUCUGUGUCUUCGCCAUUGUAAAUUAUGCUGCAGUGAACACGGGGGUGCAGAUAUCUCUUUGGGAUAGUGAUUUCAUUUUCUUCGGAUAAAUACCCAGCAGUGGGAUGGCUGGGUCAUAUGGUCGUCCUGUGGUAGGCGUUAACAGUCUUCAUCAAACAUAUCUGACUCCUCCCUUCUGGGAUAAGUGUGGCUGGUGAGCAGAAUAGGUCUGUACCUGGGAGCCAAACCCCCAAACCCAGGUCACCAAAGAGGAGUGCGCAGAACUUUAACCACUCGGCCACAGGGCUGGGCCCUCAAGCUUCUUAAGGUGGACAGUUAGCAACUGGCUCCUGCUCCAUGCUUAAGGCCAAGAGACAUCUCUGAGAAAAUAGCAUUGAACAGGAGAGAUAAAGUUCCUGCUCCCAUGGAUGCUUAUGUCAACUGAAAAAAAUAGGAAUUGAACACAUAAACACAAAACACUAUAUAAUUCCACUGAUAAACAUUAUAAAGGAGCAUACAGAGUGUUAUGAGACUUUGUAACAACAGUCUUCGCUAUCUAAUGAGAAGCUAUGUUUACAGUGAUGAAUAUCAUGGAGGAAUUGAUAUUUAGGCUUAGACCUGAAAAAUUACUGAGAGUUGGCCAUGUGACACGGAUGAUUUAUUCCAAGCAGGAGAAUCCGCAUGCUUAUGAAUCAGCCCAGUGAAUGAAGACUCUAGGAUUUCUUUUCAAUGUUCAUAUGGUUUGCUAGAGUUCAGCCAGGAGAAUUUAAGAAACUUUUCUGAGUAACUUGCAUAUGAUAGAAAGUUUUCAGUAAAGACUUGUCAAUAGACUAGAAUAUUUGGCUCACACUGAUUUGAAAUCUAGUGACUCUCUUAACACACUUAUAUUAAGCUCACACAAGGUAUUAUGGACUGAGAAUUAAUCUCUCAGACUGAUUUACUUGUAAAAACUUGUAUAGGCUCAUGAAAUAGCAAUGAUAACAAUUGUGAAUUUUCAGAUUCUGCCCUGAUUGGCAUAGUUCUGUGCUUAUUUUUCUACCCCAAAAUAUCUCAAAAUGUAAUUCAGUAAGGCAAGGAGUGCAUAUUGUGGGGAGAGAUGUACGGAGGAUAUGUAAAGAAAAGACUUUCCAAUUAGACAUAUCUCGGUGACAUCACACCUUCAUUUUUCUGUAUCAUGGCAAGUUAUUUAAUUCCUGUGUGCUUCAUUUCCCUUUUAUUUAAAAUACAACUGAUAAUAUCUCUGGAAGCUCCUCUAAUUAAUACUGUUAUAGCCUUUGACAAGUUAGUUGUUUUGGCUAUUAGGACCCAUUCUCUCAGUGAUCACAGUGCUUUUGUGAUCCUGAUGCAAUAAAGAGAAUGUUGUAAAGACAGAAUUUUAUAUUUUAUUAGUUACAAUAUGUUUUGCAUGUCUGGGAAUCUGCUCAGUGCCAGUAAUAGUACAACUAAAAAAUAUUUCACAAUUCUAUUAUAAGCCAAAAUUCUCUAUUUCUCUUCCUAAAUUUUUCCACCUCUAACACAAAAACAUAAUCGCCAGUAUUCUAUGAUUGAGUGAGAGGCUACUGAAAUGGGCAAUGGAUUUACCUGUAUCCUUUCCCUUUGUUCUGGGAAGUAUUCUCUUGCAGUAUCCUUCUAAAAAAUACCAAAACAAAACUUAUAUUUUUUCAUAUUUGUCAUUUACUCUUAGAAAACUCAAGAAUCAAGAGUGGUUUAGAUAUGUUCAUUUAUUUUAUUCCCUGUGUCCAUAAUUAAUAAGUGAUUAAGCUAAGAUCCCAAAUUAUUUAAAGUCUGUAGCUCAAUCAAUGGAAAGUGGAAAUGAGUAGUUUUCAUGACUGAAUCUUCUCAAUAAAUAAAGAAAUGCAAAGAGAAGUAUAAAAUUACUUAUUGUAGGAUGGGAUGGAACUAAACCAUUGCCUAAAUCAAGAAGGCCUAUGGGUUCCAACGCAAGAAUUUAAAUUGGAAGUGCAAAUUACUUUUUCAGUUCAAAUAAAGCAAUCCUAACACAAGUGACCUAAGCAUUUGAGCUUAGUUUUCUCAUCUGGAACCUGUGAAAUACCAUGUCUAUCUAUACAUCUAUGGACCUAUACCUAUCUCUAUAUCUAAAUCUAUAUCUAUACCUAUAUCUAUAUCAUCUCUAUAUACUUAAUAGGGUUUGUGGGUUUCAGUGUGUAUGUGUGACAUCCUGGAAAUGGAAUAAUGGAUAUAAACAUACAUACUGGAACACAAGGAAGCCUUUCUUUUUGUAGAUUCCAGCUUUUCUUUAUUUUAAGCUGUGUCCUGAAAUAUGAGUAUAUGUUCUGGCAUUUGUUCAGUUAUCAUCUGAAAGUUCAACUACCUUGAAGUGCUACUACCCUUCUCUGUUUUAGGUCAUUCAUAGUUCAGCUAAUACACAGAUAUAUUAUCAGAUCAGACUGAUAUGGAUCAGAGAGCUCAUCCAAUAUCAAGUUUUAAUAAUUACUGUCAAGGAUAUGAGAAAUCAAAAGGCUCAAAGCAGAGAGUUCUGAGACAUCAAGGGUAGCUCCUCAGAGCCUGUCUUCCUGCAUUGGAUAUGCACCUCUGUUCCAGAACAAUAGAUAUGAUCCACAGGUAAGGAUUGUAGCAUCAUCUCCCACUGUGGGAGCAUUUCCAUUCUGAACUGUGUCCAUUUUCAACCCCAAAGUUGUGAGGCUCCCCAGGGAAACAUGCCUCAGAGAUUCUAGUAUGAUUCACUCUAGGGAAUUCUUGCUCAGGGAUAUCUUACUAAGGGCAAUUCAGGGAUAAAUUCUCCUCCUCCUAGUAAAUAGCAUUACUUUGUUUUCCCAGAAGCACAGUUGACACAAAGAUUACACUGGGCUAUCUGCUUAUUUCCCCGCUGGGGGCGUCACUCCUAUGAAAGAUGUGACUGAAUCCCAGACCAGAAACUUUAACUUCUUCCUGCCAGUAGUUAACAUCAUUUUUCAUUCUCAUUCUGUUUGUUAUUUUUCCAUGAAUUUUGUAAGUUUCCCAUGACUAUUCUGCAGCUCAAUGUCUCUAUUUAUUGCAGUGCUAUAUCUGCUUCUGAUACAAAUUAAACAUUGCUAUUUGAGUUCUCUUCAGUUUUUUCAGGAAUCUUUCCCUUCAUUUCUAUGGAUAAUCAUCUUUUUCUCCCCCAGUCUCUUGAAAAGAUUCCUAUAUGCUCUAUAUUAAAUAUCCUAGAACUGAUAAGACAAGUAUUACUUCCUCCUUUUUCCUCACCCUUCUCUUCCUUGAAUGCAUCUUCUCCCAAGCAAAUUCUUUGUUCUCUUCCAUAUUGCAUCAUUGCCUUUUAAUUUUUUUCAGAAUUUUCACACAGGCUCCAUAAUAUUUUAUUUUAUGGUUAAUUGUAUUUUAAAUUGAUUUUAUUACUUUCCACAGUAUUUUAUACAAAUAGUUUUAAAGGUCUAAAUAUCUUAUAAUAAAAUUCACUAGUAUCUCUCUUUCUGGGCUGAGUCCUACCCAAAAAGGUUAAAAACUUGUCACUGAUUUUGGUAUUUAACUUCCAAUUUUUGAAAUACAUGUUUGUUUAAUCUAUCUAACAUAUAUUUGCUAUCUUAUUAUUUUUCAUUUUAUAUUUAUUAUAUCUAUUUUCAUUAUUACUUUCAUUGUUAUUAUUUCUGUUUAUUAAUUCACUUAUUAUGUCUGAUAUAGUAUCUCUUUUAGGCAGUCCUUUCUUUAAUAGAUUGCAUGGCCUGAAUAUCUAAACCCAUGCCUAUCAUAUUUUCUACCUGUAUUUAAAAGCUUUUAUGCCUCUUUUGAGUUCUAAGCGAACUUCCUUCCACUUCU